GACAGAGGGGUGCAAACGUUGUUCGGAAUUACUGGGCGUAAAGCGCGUGUAGGCGGCCAUCUAAGUCGGGCGUGAAAUCCCCCGGCUCCAACCGGGGAACUGCUUGGUAUACUGGUUGUCUUGAGCCACUUAGGGGCAGUCGGAACAGACGGUGGAGCGGUGAAAUGCGUAGAUAUCGUCUGGAACGCCAAAGGUGAAAACAGACUGCUGGGAGUGUGCUGACGCUGAGACACGAAGCCAGGGGAGCAAAACGGG
rnacentral:rRNA from 1 species